rnacentral:rRNA from 1 species
UCCAGACUCCUACGGGAGGCAGCAGUGGGGGAUAUUGCACAAUGGGGGAAACCCUGAUGCAGCGACGCCGCGUGAGUGAAGAAGUCUUUCGGUAUGUAAAGCUCUCUCAGCAGGGAAGAAAAAAGACGGUACCUGACUAAGAAGCCCCGGCUAACUACGUGCCAGCAGCCGCGGUACUACGUAGGGGGCAAGCGUUAACCGGAUUUACUGGGUGUAAAGGGAGCGUAGACGGCAAUACAAGUCGGAAGUGAAAUACCCGGGCUUAACCUGGGAACUGCUUUGGAAACUGGAUGGCUGGAGUGCUGGAGAGGUAAGCGGAAUUCCUAGUGUAGCGGUGAAAUGCGUAGAUAUUAGGAGGAACACCAGUGGCGAAGGCGGCUUACUGGACAGUAACUGACGUUGAGGCUCGAAAGCGUGGGGAGCAAACAGGAUUAGAUACCCGAGUACA